AGGGCACCACCAGGAGUGGAGCCUGCGGCUUAAUUUGACUCAACACGGGGAAACUCACCCGGCCCGGACACCGGAAGGACUGACAGAUUGAUAGCUCUUUCUUGAUUCGGUGGAUGGUGGUGCAUGGCCGUUCUUAGUUGGUGGAGCGAUCUGUCUGGUUAAUUCCGAUAACGAACGAGACUCUAGCCUAUUAAAUAGACGUCGGGUUCUCUGCACUCGACGGUCUUCUUAGAGGGACAAGGUGCUUUUAGCACCGCGAAACAGAGCAAUAACAGGUCUGUGAUGCCCUUAGAUGUCCGGGGCCGCACGCGCGCUACACUGAAGGAAGCAGCGUGUAACAACCUUGUUCUAACGAACUGGGUAACCCGUGGAACUUCCUUCAUGAUUGGGAUAGGGGUUUGCAAUUGUGCCCCUUGAACGAGGAAUUCCCAGUAAACACUAGUCAUCAGCUAGUGCUGAUUACGUCCCUGCCCUUUGUACACACCGCCCGUCGCUACUACCGAUUGAAUGGUUUAGUGA
rnacentral:rRNA from 1 species